rnacentral:rRNA from 1 species
AUUGAACGCUGGCGGCAUGCCUUACACAUGCAAGUCGAACGGCAGCACGGGAGCAAUCCUGGUGGCGAGUGGCGAACGGGUGAGUAAUAUAUCGGAACGUGCCCAGUCGUGGGGGAUAACGCAGCGAAAGCUGUGCUAAUACCGCAUACGAUCUAUGGAUGAAAGCGGGGGAUCGCAAGACCUCGCGCGAUUGGAGCGGCCGAUAUCAGAUUAGGUAGUUGGUGGGGUAAAGGCCCACCAAGCCAACGAUCUGUAGCUGGUCUGAGAGGACGACCAGCCACACUGGAACUGAGACACGGUCCAGACUCCUACGGGAGGCAGCAGUGGGGGAUUUUGGACAAUGGGCGAAAGCCUGAUCCAGCGACGCCGCGUGGAGGACGAAGCCCUUCGGGGUGUAAACUCCUUUUCUCAGGGAAAAGGAUGAUGGUACCUGAGGAAUAAGCCCCGGCUAACUACGUGCCAGCAGCCGCGGUAAGGAGUAGUACA